rnacentral:rRNA from 1 species
UACGUAGGGUGCAAGCGUUAAUCGGAAUUACUGGGCGUAAAGCGUGCGCAGGCGGUUUGCUAAGACAGGUGUGAAAUCCCCGGGCUUAACCUGGGAACUGCGCUUGUAACUGGCAAGCUAGAGUGUGGCAGAGGGGGGUGGAAUUCCACGUGUAGCAGUGAAAUGCGUAGAGAUGUGGAGGAACACCGAUGGCGAAGGCAGCCCCCUGGGCUAACACUGACGCUCGUGCACGAAAGCGUGGGGAGCAAACAGG